rnacentral:rRNA from 1 species
CAGUAGCCACGGUAAUACGGAGGGUGCGAGCGUUAAUCGGAAUUACUGGGCGUAAAGCGUACGCAGGCGGUUUGUUAAGUCAGAUGUGAAAUCCCCGAGCUUAACUCGGGAACUGCAUUUGAAACUGGCAGGCUAGAGUCUUGUAGAGGGGGGUAGAAUUCCAGGUGUAGCGGUGAAAUGCGUAGAGAUCUGGAGGAAUACCGGUGGCGAAGGCGGCCCCCUGGACGAAGACUGACGCUCAGGUACGAAAGCGUGGGGAGCAAACAGGAUUAGAUACCCCGGUAGUCCCUGUCUCUUAUAC